UACCACUAUGUGAGCUCCUCCUGUUAAAACUCCAAAUGUUACACAAUGAGUUUGAAGUCAGUUAUGUGUAUAUAAAGAGUUGCCUCUGUUGUUAACAGUAGAGGACAGAUUUCACCUUUGAAUCUCACAAAGCUCACUUUGUAUUCGACAGGAUGAAGUUCACUGCCACCUUUGUCUUGUUGUUCAUCUUCGUCCUCAUGGUUGAUCUCGGAGAGGGUGCCGGGAUAAUUAGCGGGGCGGUCAUUGAUGCCCUGACCAAUGGGCAGGGGCAGGGUUACGAUGAGCAGCAGGAGCUCGCCAAGCGCUCAGAUGAUGACAGCCCCAGUCUUAUUUUUUUGGACUGAAGAAGUCGCCCUGAAGGAACCUUCAGAUGAUCUAUAAUGCUUCUUGCUUUUCAAUGAAAUAAAUCAUACAUUUAUCCGC